AUUGAACGCUGGCGGCAGGCCUAACACAUGCAAGUCGAGCGGAUGAAGGGAGCUUGCUCCUGGAUUCGGCGGCGGACGGGUGAGUAAUGCCUAGGAAUCUGCCUGGUAGUGGGGGAUAACGUCCGGAAACGGGCGCUAAUACCGCAUACGUCCUGAGGGAGAAAGUGGGGGAUCUUCGGACCUCACGCUAUCAGAUGAGCCUAGGUCGGAUUAGCUAGUUGGUGGGGUAAAGGCCUACCAAGGCGACGAUCCGUAACUGGUCUGAGAGGAUGAUCAGUCACACUGGAACUGAGACACGGUCCAGACUCCGACGGGAGGCAGCAGUGGGGAAUAUUGGACAAUGGGCGAAAGCCUGAUCCAGCCAUGCCGCGUGUGUGAAGAAGGUCUGCGGAUUGUAAAGCACUUUAAGUUGGGAGGAAGGGCAGUAAGUUAAUACCUGGCUGUUUUGACGUUACCAACAGAAUAAGCACCGGCGAACUUCGU
rnacentral:rRNA from 1 species